CAGUCGCCGCGGGAAUACGGAGGGAGCUAGCGUUGUUCGGAAUUACUGGGCGUAAAGCGCGCGUAGGCGGUUACUCAAGUCGGAGGUGAAAGCCCGGGGCUCAACCCCGGAACUGCCUUUGAAACUAGGUGACUAGAAUCUUGGAGAGGUCAGUGGAAUUCCGAGUGUAGAGGUGAAAUUCGUAGAUAUUCGGAAGAACACCAGUGGCGAAGGCGACUGACUGGACAAGUAUUGACGCUGAGGUGCGAAAGCGUGGGGAGCAAACAGGAUUAGAUACCCCUGUAGUCCCUGUCUAUUAUAC
rnacentral:rRNA from 1 species